rnacentral:rRNA from 1 species
GGCCCCUAAAAAAGUAGUCAACCUGCCCUGGAGACAUGGACAACCCCGGGAAACUGGGAUUAAUCCGUGAUAGGUCAUCCCAUCUGGAAGGAGGGAUGGCUUAAAGGGGCGCGCGCGCUUCUUCUGCGCGUUCGCUCCAGGAUGGGACUGCGUCCGAUCAGGCUGUUGGCGGGGUAAUGGCCCACCAAACCUGUAACCGGUACGGGCCUUGAGAGAGGUGGCCCGGAGAUGGACACUGAGAGAAGGGUCCAGGUCCUACGGGGCGCAGCAGGCGCGAAACCUUCGCAAUGCGCGAAAGCGUGACGAGGUUAAUCCGAGUGGCCCCCGCUGAGGGGGCCUUUUGUCAGCUGUAAAUAGGCGGGCGAAUAAGGGGAGGGCAAGCCUGGUGUCAGCCGCCGCGGUAAUACCAGCUCCUCGAGUGGUCGGGGCGAUUAUUGGGCCUAAAGCAUCCGUAGCCGGUUCCGUAGGUCCUCUGUUAAAUCCACCCGCUUAACGGGUGACCUGCAGAGGAUACCGCGGGACUAGGAGGCGGGAGAGGCGGACGGUACUCCGCGUGUAGGGGUAAAAUCCUUUGAUCCGCGGAAGA